rnacentral:rRNA from 1 species
AGAACGAACGCUGGCGGCAUGCCUAACACAUGCAAGUCGAACGCUCGGGGUUUCGGCCCCGGGAGUGGCGCACGGGUGAGUAACGCGUGGGAACCUGCCCAGGAGUGGGGGAUAACCGAGGGAAACUUCGGCUAAUACCGCAUACGACCUGAGGGUGAAAGAUUUAUCGCUCUUGGAGGGGCCCGCGUCGGAUUAGGUAGUUGGUGGGGUAACGGCCUACCAAGCCUGUGAUCCGUAGCUGGUCUGAGAGGAUGAUCAGCCACACUGGGACUGAGACACGGCCCAGACUCCUACGGGAGGCAGCAGUGGGGAAUAUUGGACAAUGGGCGCAAGCCUGAUCCAGCAAUGCCGCGUGGGUGAUGAAGGCCUUAGGGUUGUAAAGCCCUUUCGGCGGGACGAUGAUGACGGUACCCGCAGAAGAAGCCCCGGCUAACUUCGCGCCAGCAGCCGC